rnacentral:miRNA from 1 species
AUUCAAGAAGGUCGUGGAAAA